rnacentral:rRNA from 2 species
UAACAAGGAUUCCCCUAGUAACUGCGAGUGAAGCGGGAAAAGCUCAAAUUUAAAAUCUGGCGGUCUCUGGCCGUCCGAGUUGUAGUCUGGAGAAGUGCUUUCCGCGCUGGACCGUGUAUAAGUCUCUUGGAACAGAGCGUCAUAGAGGGUGAGAAUCCCGUCUUUGACACGGACCACCAGUGCUUUGCGAUGCGCUCUCAAAGAGUCGAGUUGUUUGGGAAUGCAGCUCAAAAUGGGUGGUGAAUUCCAUCUAAAGCUAAAUAUUGGCGAGAGACCGAUAGCGAACAAGUACCGUGAGGGAAAGAUGAAAAGCACUUUGGAAAGAGAGUUAAACAGUACGUGAAAUUGCUGAAAGGGAAACGCUUGAAGUCAGUCGCGUCGUCCAGAACUCAGCCUUGCUCUCGCUUGGUGCAUUUUCUGGAUGACGGGCCAGCAUCGAUUUUGAUCGUCGGAAAAGGGUUGGGGUAAUGUGGCACCUCCGGGUGUGUUAUAGACUCCAGUCGCAUACGACGGUCGGGAUCGAGGUUCGCAGCGCGCCGCAAGGCAGGGGUUCGCCCACUUUCGCGCUUAGGAUGCUGGCAUAAUGGCUUUAAACGAC